GAUUCUUAUGGCUCUGAUACUAAUGUUAGCCAAAAUGCAGGGAUUCUCAAAGGAAUCCGAGGUUUUAGCAGCUAGACAGGAGCUUAGCGGAGAAGCUUGAGUUAUUCAGCUAUGGUGGAUGAAAAGAUAGAAGAUGAAGAAUACAAUUUCAUUGAAAAGUGUACUUGUAUAUUCAAUAGAUGAUUCAAACUGUAGUGAUACAAUGCCUUAUAUAGAAAUGAGAAAGAAUUUUAUCUUGCUAACUGCUUCUAACUAAUCCAACAUCAUAACUAAGUACUCAUAAGGCAAAAAACUAACUAAGACCAGCUGAUUCAUUUAUUGUGUAACAUUUAAUUGUUAGCUCCUUGUAGUUGUUAAUUAAUAUC
rnacentral:lncRNA from 1 species